rnacentral:rRNA from 1 species
ACCACAACAGGUGGAGCCUGCGGUUUAAUCGGACUCAACGCCGGGAAACUCACCAGAUAAGACAGCUGAAUGAUAGUCGGGCUGAAGACUCUACUUGACUAGCUGAGAGGAGGUGCAUGGCCGUCGUCAGUUCGUACUGUGAAGCAUCCUGUUAAGUCAGGCAACGAGCGAGACCCACGCCAACAGUUGCCAGCUCGUCCUCCGGGAUGGUGGGGACACUGUUGGGACCGCCUCUGCUAAAGAGGAGGAAGGAAUGGGCAACGGUAGGUCAGCAUGCCCCGAAUUAUCUGGGCUACACGCGGGCUACAAUGGGUGGGACAAUGGGUAUCGACACCGAAAGGUGAAGGCAAUCUCCUAAACCCAUCCGUAGUUCGGAUUGUGGGCUGCAACCUCGCCCCACAUGAAGCUGGAAUCUGUAGGUAAUUCGUGUCUCCAAAAUUGGCAACGGUUAGGAAAUUAUGGUCCCCUGGCGUCCGUU